rnacentral:rRNA from 1 species
UACGUAGGGUGCAAGCGUUGUCCGGAAUUAUUGGGCGUAAAGAGCUCGUAGGCGGUUUGUCGCGUCUGCUGUGAAAACUCGGGGCUUAACCCCGGGCCUGCAGUGGGUACGGGCAGACUAGAGUGCGGUAGGGGAGACUGGAAUUCCUGGUGUAGCGGUGAAAUGCGCAGAUAUCAGGAGGAACACCGGUGGCGAAGGCGGGUCUCUAGUACGGUACUGACGCUGAGACGCGAAAGCGUGGGGAGCGAACAGG